UGCAGAGGGUGCGAGCGUUAAUCGGAAUUACUGGGCGUAAAGCGCACGUAGGUGGCGACGUAAGUCGGGUGUGAAAGCCCCGGGCUCAACCUGGGAAUUGCAUUCGAAACUGCAGAGCUGGAGUCCUGGAGAGGAAGGCGGAAUUCUCGGUGUAGAGGUGAAAUUCGUAGAUAUAGGGAGGAACACCGGUGGCGAAGGCGGCGACCUGGGUCGACACUGACGCUGAGGCGCGAAAGCGUGGGGAGCAAACAGG
rnacentral:rRNA from 1 species